AGAGUUUGAUCAUGGCUCAGAUUGAACGCUGGCGGCAUGGCUAAAACAUGCAAGUCGAACGAACCCGCAAGGGUGAGUGGCGAAAGGGUUAGUAAUGCGAUCGAACGUGCCCUGAGGUGGGGGAUAGCGUUGGGAAACUGACGGUAAUACCCCAUGAUCUCGUGAGAGCAAAGGUUUACCGCCUUGGGAUCGGCGAUCGUCCUAUCAGGUAGUUGGCGGGGUAAAGGCCCACCAAGCCUUAGACGGGUAGCGGGUGUGAGAGCACGGCCCGCAACAUCGGGACUGAGACACUGCCCGGACUCCUACGGGAGGCUGCAGUAACGAAUCUUCCGCAAUGGGCGAAAGCCUGACGGAGCAAUGCCGCGUGUGGGAUCAAGCGCCUCCGGCGUGUAAACCACUGUCAGGGAACAGAACCAACGAUCGUUCCCAAAGGAAGUGGCGACUAACUCUGUGCCAGCAGUCGCGGUAAUACAGAGGCCACGAGCGUUAAUCGGAAUCACUGGGCUUAAAGGGUGCGUAGGCGGGCUCGUAAGCGUCUUGUGAAAGCCCCCGGCUCAACCGGGGAACUGCAGGGCGAACUACGAGUCUUGAGGUAGGUAGGGGCUGUUAGAACAGUAGGUGGAGCGGUGAAAUGCGUAGAGAUCUACUGGAAUGCCGAUGGAGAAGUCGAGCAGCUGGGCCUUACCUGACGCUGAGGCACGAAAGCGUGGGGAGCAAACAGGAUUAGAUACCCUGGAAGUCCACGCCGUAAACGAUGCACACUAGAUCGGUGCAGGUCUGACCCUGUAUCGGUCGACGCGAAAGCGAUAAGUGUGCCGCCUGGGGAGUACGGUCGCAAGAUUAAAACUCAAAUGAAUUGACGGGGGCUCACACAAGCGGUGGAGCAUGUUGCUAAAUUCGAGGCAACGCGAAGAACCUUACCUGGGUUUGACAUGCUUGGAUUAACUCCUUGAAAGAGGAGCCACACCCUCUGGGUGGAACAAGCACAGGUGCUGCAUGGCUGUCGUCAGCUCGUGCUGUGAAGCGUCGGGUUAAGUCCUAUAACGAGCGCAACCCCUGUCGCUAGUUGCUCGGUUCGCCUGUACUCUAGCGAGACUGCCGGUGUCAAACCGGAGGAAGGUGGGGAUGACGUCAUUCCUCAUGGCCCUUACAUCCAGGGUUGCAAACGUGCUACAAUGGUGCGUACAAAGCGACGCAAGAUCGCAAGAUGGAGCAAAUCGCAAAAAACGCACCCCAGUUCGGAUUGUCGGCUGCAAUUCGCCGGCAUGAAGUCGGAAUCGCUAGUAAUCGGAGAUCAGCUACGCUCCGGUGAAUGUGUUCCUGAGCCUUGUACACACCGCCCGUCACGUCAUGGGAGCCGGUAGUGCCCGAAGUCGCCACGUCACUGUGGUGCCUACGGCAAGAUCGGUGACUGGGACGAAGUCGUAACAAGGUA
rnacentral:rRNA from 1 species